AAAAAACAAAACCAGAGAAACAAUUUUCCUUGAUGGUUGCAGCUCUGUUUCCUGUAACUGAUCAUUUUGGGAAAAGACAGCU
rnacentral:snoRNA from 14 species